AGGGAGUGGAGCGUGUCGCCCUUUAGGAGUGGAGAUGGUCGGUCUCUCUCCCCAGCAGAAGACAGAGGUACAGGGAGAGGAGAGUAUCGUCCUCCAUCCCCAGCGGCAGAGUGAGUUACAGGGAGUGGAGACAACUGGUCUCACUCCCCAGCGGCAGUGUGCAUUACAGGGAGAGAAGUGUGUCCCCAGCGUUACCGUGUGUUAUUCAGGGCCGUCUUUAACGCAGGGAAAACGGGGCAGCUGCCCCAGGCCCAGUUUCUCUUGGGGGGCCCGAGGCACCUGCCCCGUG